AACAAAAGAUAGGGGAUGGAAAGACGAUCAGAACCGUCGUAGUCUUAACUAUAAACUAACCAAAUAGAGAUGGAGGUAGUCAUUUUAUCGACUCCUUCAGCACCUUACGAGAAAUAAAAGUCUAGGGUUCAGGGGGGAGUAUGGUCGCAAGGCAGAAACUUAAAGGAAUUGACGGAAGGGCACCACCAGGCGUGGAGCCUGCGGCUUAAUUUGACUCACACACGGGAAAACUCACCAGGUCCAGACAUGGGAAGGAUGACAGAUUGAUAGCUCUUUCUUAUACUAUGGGUGGUGGUGC
rnacentral:rRNA from 1 species